rfam:Sordaria macrospora k-hell, WGS project CABT02000000 data, contig: 2.1
GGGACCUUGGCGCAGUUGGCUAGCGCGCAGGUCUCAUACCCUGUAUGAUCUGGCUUAACGUCAGAGUAAUCCUGAGGUCGGGAGUUCGAGCCUCCCAGGUCCCA